rnacentral:rRNA from 1 species
GACGAACGCUGGCGGCGUGCUUAACACAUGCAAGUCGAACGGUGAAGCGAGUGCUUGCACUCGUGGAUCAGUGGCGAACGGGUGAGUAACACGUGAGUAACCUGCCCAUCACUCUGGGAUAAGCACUGGAAACGGUGUCUAAUACUGGAUACGACCAACCCUUGCAUGGGGUGUUGGUGGAAAGAUUUAUCGGUGAUGGAUGGACUCGCGGCCUAUCAGCUUGUUGGCGGGGUAAUGGCCCACCAAGGCGACGACGGGUAGCCGGCCUGAGAGGGUGACCGGCCACACUGGGACUGAGACACGGCCCAGACUCCUACGGGAGGCAGCAGUGGGGAAUAUUGCACAAUGGGCGAAAGCCUGAUGCAGCGACGCCGCGUGAGGGAUGACGGCCUUCGGGUUGUAAACCUCUUUCAGCAGGGAAGAAGCGAAAGUGACGGUACCUGCAGAAGAAGCACCGGCUAACUACGUGC